AGUGAACGCUGGCGGUAGGCCUAACACAUGCAAGUCGAACGGCAGCACAGUAAGAGCUUGCUCUUACGGGUGGCGAGUGGCGGACGGGUGAGGAAUACAUCGGAAUCUACUUUUUCGUGGGGGAUAACGUAGGGAAACUUACGCUAAUACCGCAUACGACCUACGGGUGAAAGCAGGGGAUCUUCGGACCUUGCGCGAUUGAAUGAGCCGAUGUCGGAUUAGCUAGUUGGCGGGGUAAAGGCCCACCAAGGCGACGAUCCGUAGCCGGUCUGAGAGGAUGAUCAGCCACACUGGAACUGAGACAAGGUCCAGACUCCUACGGGAGGCAGCAGUGGGGAAUAUUGGACAAUGGGCGCAAGCCUGAUCCAGCCAUACCGCGUGGGUGAAGAAGGCCUUCGGGUUGUAAAGCCCUUUUGUUGGGAAAGAAAAGCAGCAGGUUAAUACCCCGCUGUUCUGACGGUACCCAAAGAAUAAGCACCGGCUAACUUCGUG
rnacentral:rRNA from 1 species